AGUUAGUCCGCCGGACUCGGAAUGGCCCCAGACUUUGCGGGCGGCCUCCGUGUGCCAAAACUAGGCCACGGGCACAGCCGCGCCCAAAAAUCAGCCCCCGAAGGUCGGGGGGCAAGACCCCCCAGCGGAAAAAUGGCCAAAAAACGGGUGGGCUAUAGCCUUGGUCGGGGGCGUGGGCGAAUAUCGUCCGCCGGACUCGGAAUGGAGCCAGACUUUGCGGGCGACCUCCGUGUGCCAAAAAUAUGCCACGGGCACAGCCGCGCCCAAAAAUCAGCCCCCGAAGGUCGGGGCGCCAAGACCCCCCAGCGGAAAAAUGGCCAAAAAACGGGUGGGCUAUAGCCUUGGUGGGGGGCGUGGGCGAAGUUCGUCCAGCGGACUCGGAAUGGCCCCAGACUUUGCGGGCGGCCUCCGUGUGGCAAAAAUAGGCCACGGGCAGAGCCGCGCCCAAAAAUCAGCCCCCGAAGGUCGGGGUGCCAAGACCCCCCAGCGGAAAAAUGGCCAAAAAACGGGUGGGCUAUAGCCUUGGUGGCGGGCGUGGGCGAAGUUCGUCCGCCGGACUCGGAAUGGCCCCAGACUUUGCGGGCGGCCUCCGUGUGCCAAAAACAGGCCACGGGCACACCCGCGCCCAAAAAUCAGCCCCCGAAGGUCGGGGCGCCAAGACCCCCCAGCGGAAAAAUGGCCAAAAAAUGGGUGGGCGGGCUAUAUCCUUGGUGGGGGGCGUGGGCGAAGUUCGUCCGCCGGACUCGGAAUGGCCCCAGACUUUGCGGGCGGCCUCCGUGUGCCAAAAACAGGCCACGGGCACACCCGCGCCCCAAAAAUCAGCCCCCGAAAGGUCGGGGCGCCAAGACCCCCCAGCGGAAAAAUGGCCAAAAAAUGGGUGGGCGGGCUAUAGCUUUGGUGGAGGGCGUGGGCGAAGUUCGUCCGCCGAACUCGGAAUGGCCCCAGACUUUGCGGGCGGCCUCCGUGUGCCAAAAAUAGGCCACGGGCACAGCCGCGCCCAAAAAUCAGCCCCCGAAGGUCGGGGUGCCAACACCCCCCAGCGGAAAAAUGGCCAAAAAACGGGCGGGCUAUAGCCUUGGUGGGGGGCGUGGGCGAAAUUCGUCCGCCGGACUCGGAAUGGCCCCAGACUUUGCGGGCGGCCUGCGUGUGCCAAAAAUAGGCCACGGGCACAGCCGCGCCCAAAAAUCAGCACCCAAAUGUCGGGGCGCCAAGACCCCCCAGCGGAAAAAUGGCCAAAAAAUGGGUGGGCUAUAGCCUUGGUGGGGGGCGUGGGCGAAGUUAGUCCGCCGGACUCGGAAUGGCCCCAGACUUUGCGGGCGGCCUCCGUGUGCCAAAAAUAGGCCACGGGCAGAGCCGCGCCCAAAAAUCAGCCCCCGAAGGUCGGGGCACCAAGACCCCCCAGCGGAAAAAUGGCCAAAAAACGGGUGGGCUAUAGCCUUGGUGGGGGGCGUGGGCGAAGUUCGUCCGCCGGACUCGGAAUGGCCCCAGACUUUGCGGGCGGCUUCCGUGUGCCAAAAAUAGGCCACGGGCAGAGCCACGCCCAAAAAUCAGCCCCCGAAGGUCGGGGUGCCAAGACCCCCCAGCGGAAAAAUGGCCAAAAAACGGGUGGGCUAUAGCCUUGGUGGGGGGCGUGGGCGAAGUUAGUCCGCCGGACUCGGAAUGGCCCCAGACUUUGCGGACGGCCUCCGUGUGCCAAAAAUAGGCCACGGGCAGAGCCGCGCCCAAAAAUCAGCCCCCGAAGGUCGGGGCGCCAAGACCCCCCAGCGGAAAAAUGGCCAAAAAACGGGUGGGCUAUAGCCUUGGUGGGGGGCGUGGGCGAAGUUCGUCCGCCGGACUCGGAAUGGCCCCAGACGUUGCGGGCGGCCUCCGUGUGCCAAAAAUAGGCCACGGGCACAGCCGCGCCCAAAAAUCAGCCCCCGAAUGUCGGGGUGCCAACACCCCCCAGCGGAAAAAUGGCCAAAAAACGGGUGGGCUAUAGCCUUGGUGGGGGGCGUGGGCGAAGUUCGUCCGCCGGGCUCGGAAUGGCCCCAGACUUUGCGGGCGGCCUCCGUGUGCCAAAAAUAGGCCACGGGCACAGCCGCGCCCAAAACUCAGCCCCCGAAGGUCGGGGCGCCAAGACCCCCCAGCGGAAAAAUGGCCAAAAAACGGGUGGGCUAUAGCCUUGGUGGGGGGCGUGGGCGAAGUUCGUCCGCCGGACUCGGAAUGGCCCCAGACGUUGCGGGCGGCCUCCGUGUGCCAAAAAUAGGCCACGGGCACGGCCGCGCCCAAAAAUCAGCCCCCGAAGGUCGGGGUGCCAACACCCCCCAGCGGAAAAAUGGACAAAAAACGGGUGGGCUAUAGCCUUGGUGGGGGGCGUGGGCGAAGUUCAUCCGCUGGACUCGGAAUGGCACCAGACUUUGCGGGCGGCCUCCGUGUGCCAAAAAUAGGCCACGGGCACA
rnacentral:lncRNA from 1 species